rnacentral:rRNA from 1 species
UCCUGGCUCAGGAGAACGCUGCGGCGUGCUAACACAUGCAAGUGACGAGGAUCUUAUGUGUGAUCCCUUCGGGGUGAACUUUUAAGAGGAAAGUGGCGGACGGGCGAGGUAACGCGUGAGUAACCUGCCCAUAAGAGGGGGAUAAUCCAUGGAAACGUGGACUAAUACCGCAUAUUGAAUAUUUACCGCAUGGUAGAUAUUUGAAAGAUUUAUCGCUUAUGGAUGGACUCGCGUCAGAUUAGCUGGUUGGUGAGGUAACGGCUCACCAAGGCGACGAUCUGUAGCCGAACUGAGAGGUUGAUCGGCCGCAUUGGGGACUGAGACACGGCCCAGACUCCUACGGGAGGCAGCAGUGGGGAAUAUUGCGCAAUGGGGGGAACCCUGACGCAGCAACGCCGCGUGCAGGAAGAAGGUCUUCGGAUUGUAAACUGUUGUCGCAGGGGAAGAAGACAGUGACGGUACCCUGUGAGAAAGUCACGGCUAACUACGUG